rnacentral:rRNA from 1 species
UACGUAGGGUGCGAGCGUUGUCCGGAAUUACUGGGCGUAAAGAGCUCGUAGGUGGUUUGUCGCGUCUAUCGUGAAAACCUGCGGCUUAACUGUGGGCUUGCGGUGGAUACGGGCAGACUUGAGUUCGGUAGGGGAGACUGGAAUUCCUGGUGUAGCGGUGAAAUGCGCAGAUAUCAGGAGGAACACCUAUGGCGAAGGCAGCUCGCUGGGACGGUACUGACGCUGAGGCGCGAAAGCGUGGGGAGCGAACAGG